rnacentral:rRNA from 1 species
AGCUCCAAUAGCGUAUAUUAAAGUUGUUGCAGUUAAAAGCUCGUAGUCUGAUUAUGGGCGGGGCUCCGGGGCCGUGCCGAAUGGCGCGAGCACCUUUGCGGGGCUCUGCUUUUUGUUUGGAGGAGCGUGCGUGCUAUUGAUUUAGUGCGGAUGUUAUUCCGGAGUUUUACUUUGAGAAAAAUAGAGUGUUCAAAGCAGGCGAUUGCCUUGAAUACAUUAGCAUGGGAUAAUGGAAUAGGACGUCAGUUCUAUUUUGAUGGUUUACGGACCGACGUAAUGAUUAAUAGGGACAGUUGGGGACAUUUAUAUUCCAUGGCUAGAGGUGAAAUUCUUGGAUUCAUGGAAGAUAAACUACUGCGAAAGCAUUUGUCAAAGAUGUUUUCA